rnacentral:rRNA from 1 species
GUGGGGAAUCUUAGACAAUGGGGGAAACCCUGAUCUAGCCAUGCCGCGUGAGCGAUGAAGGCCUUAGGGUUGUAAAGCUCUUUCAGCUGGGAAGAUAAUGACUGUACCAGCAGAAGAAGCCCCGGCUAACUCCGUGCCAGCAGCCGCGGUAAUACGGAGGGGGCUAGCGUUGUUCGGAAUUACUGGGCGUAAAGCGCACGUAGGCGGAUCAGAAAGUCAGAGGUGAAAUCCCAGGGCUCAACCUUGGAACUGCCUUUGAAACUCCUGAUCUUGAGGUCGAGAGAGGUGAGUGGAAUUCCGAGUGUAGAGGUGAAAUUCGUAGAUAUUCGGAGGAACACCAGUGGCGAAGGCGGCUCACUGGCUCGAUACUGACGCUGAGGUGCGAAAGCGUGGGGAGCAAACAGGAUUAGAAACCCGAGUAGUCC